UGGCUUAGUUCUUGUGAUUCGAUCCUACAGAUUUAUCUUGCAUCAGAAUGAGCUGUCCAUUAGACCACAGAAUGUAAGAAAAUAUUGUAUCAGUGUGCUUGGCCACAACUGGGUCAUUCAAGAGGGAAUGGGUCAGGUCUGGACGGAAGUAGUAGAGAAAUCCCACAAAAAUUAUCUUCACUGGUUUUUUUUGUGAGAUUCAUUGAUUUAUCACUGACAUUAUAUAUGCAUGUGUUAAUUCUUCUGUCUAUAAUGUUACAUCUUCCAUGAAAUCCAUAGAAACCAUUUAUUUAUCCCUCAAUCCAGUGGAAUUGGCAUCUGGUGAUGCGUGAAAGGUGGAGCAAUGUGGCUCAGGAGGGACGUGGAAAUAUAUUGAAGAAAGAAGGCACUGUGCUCAUGAGGACGAUGAUCUGCUUUGUGUGAUGGCCCAAGAGAAACUUUACUGGAUCUGUUCUUUUCGUGUCCGUUUAGCAGGAGCUGCUGGGAUCGUCUUCGAAUUAGAUGGAAUUCAAAUUUGGGAAUUUAUCAAAUGUUGGUACUGGCAAAGAUUGCAGUUUAGAAGGAAGGGUUUCCUUGAGAUCGUGUCCUUUGCUUGCUAUUGUUGGUAAAUUGUAAGAUCAAAGUGUGUUUUGAUUCUUAUUCUGUGAUGAA